rnacentral:rRNA from 1 species
UCCGCCCCAAAAAGGUCAACUAACCGUUGGGAGCCUUGAGCUCUUAGUGGCGCAGCUAACGCAUUAAGUUGACCGCCUGGGGAGUACGGCCGCAAGGUUAAAACUCAAAUGAAUUGACGGGGGCCCGCACAAGCGGUGGAGCAUGUGGUUUAAUUCGUAGCAACGCGAAGAACCUUACCAGGCCUUGACAUCCAAUGAAUCUGCUAGAGAUAGCGGAGUGCCUUCGGGAGCAUUGAGACAGGUGCUGCAUGGCUGUCCUCAGCUCGUGUCGUGAGAUGUUGGGUUAAGUCCCGUAACGAGCGCAACCCUUGUCCUUAGUUACCAGCACGUUAAGGUGGGCACUCUAAGGAGACUGCCGGUGACAAACCGGAGGAAGGUGGGGAUGACGUCAAGUCAUCAUGGCCCUUACGGCCUGGGCUACACACGUGCUACAAUGGUCGGUACAGAGGGUUGCCAAGCCGCGAGGUGGAGCUAAUCCCAGAAAACCGAUCGUAGUCCGGAUCGCAGUCUGCAACUCGACUGCGUGAAGUCGGAAUCGCUAGUAAUCGCGAAUCACAAUGUCGCGGUGAAUACGUUCCCGGGCCUUGUACACACCGCCCGUCACACCAUGGGAGUGGGUUGCACCAGAAGUAGCUAGUCUAACCUUCGGGGGGACGGUUACCAGCGGUGUGAUUCAUGACUGGGGUGAAAUCGUAACAAGGUAACCGUAAAGGGGGGUGGGGUGGGCUGCCU